UACGUAGGUGGCAAGCGUUGUCCGGAAUUAUUGGGCGUAAAGAGCUCGUAGGCGGCUUGUUGCGUCGACUGUGAAAACCCGCGGCUCAACCGCGUGGCUUGCAGUCGAUACGGGCAGGCUAGAAUUCGGUAGGGGAGACUGGAAUUCCUGGUGUAGCGGUGAAAUGCGCAGAUAUCAGGAGGAACACCGGUGGCGAAGGCGGGUCUCUGGGCCGAUAUUGACGCUGAGGAGCGAAAGCGUGGGGAGCGAACAGG
rnacentral:rRNA from 1 species